GGGGAAUAUUGCACAAUGGGCGAAAGCCUGAUGCAGCAACGCCGCGUGAGUGAUGAAGGUCUUCGGAUUGUAAAGCUCUGUCUUUUGGGACGAUAAUGACGGUACCAUAGGAGGAAGCCACGGCUAACUACGUGCCAGCAGCCGCGGUAAUACGUAGGUGGCAAGCGUUGUCCGGAUUUACUGGGCGUAAAGGAUGUGUAGGCGGAUAUUUAAGUGAGAUGUGAAAUCCCCGGGCUUAACUUGGGGGCUGCAUUUCAAACUGGAUGUCUAGAGUGCAGGAGAGGAAAGCAGAAUUCCUAGUGUAGCGGUGAAAUGCGUAGAGAUUAGGAAGAAUACCAGUGGCGAAGGCGGCUUUCUGGACUGUAACUGACGCUGAGGCGCGAAAGCGUGGGGAGCAAAC
rnacentral:rRNA from 1 species